UGGGGAAUAUUGGACAAUGGGGGGAACCCUGAUCCAGCCAUGCCGCGUGUGUGAAGAAGGCCUUAUGGUUGUAAAGCACUUUAAGCGAGGAGGAGGGUACUGGUAUUAAUACUACCAGCUACUGGACGUUACUCGCAGAAUAAGCACCGGCUAACUCUGUGCCAGCAGCCGCGGUAAUACAGAGGGUGCGAGCGUUAAUCGGAUUUACUGGGCGUAAGGCGUGCGUAGGCGGCUAAUUGAGUCGGAUGUGAAAUCCCCGAGCUUAACUUGGGAAUUGCAUUCGAUACUGGUUAGCUAGAGUGUGGGGGAGGAUGGUAGAAUUCCAGGUGUAGCGGUGAAAUGCGUAGAGAUCUGGAGGAAUACCGAUGGCGAAGGCAGCCAUCUGGCCUAACACUGACGCUGAGGUACGAAAGCAUGGGGAGCAAACAGG
rnacentral:rRNA from 1 species